rnacentral:rRNA from 1 species
UGGGGAAUCUUGGACAAUGGGGGCAACCCUGAUCCAGCGAUGCCGCGUGGGUGAUGAAGGCCUUCGGGUUGUAAAGCCCUUUCGGCGGGGACGAUAGUGACGGUACCCGCAGAAGAAGCCUCGGCUAACUCCGUGCCAGCAGCCGCGGUAAGACGGAGGAGGCUAGCGUUGUUCGGAAUUACUGGGCGUAAAGCGCGCGCAGGCGGCUGCACAAGUCAGGGGUGAGAGCCCGGGGCUCAACCUCGGAACUGCCUUUGAGACUGUGCGGCUGGAGACCGAGAGAGGAGAGUGGAAUUCCCAGUGUAGAGGUGAAAUUCGUAGAUAUUGGGAAGAACACCAGUGGCGAAGGCGCUCUCUGGCUCGGUACUGACGCUCAUGCGCGAAGCGUGGGGAGCAAACA